UACAGAGGGUGCGAGCGUUAAUCGGAAUUACUGGGCGUAAAGCGCGUGUAGGCGGCCCGAUAAGUCCGCUGUGAAAGUCCAGGGCUCAACCCUGGGAUGCCGGUGGAUACUGUCGGGCUCGAGUCCGGAAGAGGCGAGUGGAAUUCCUGGUGUAGCGGUGAAAUGCGCAGAUAUCAGGAGGAACACCAAUGGCGAAGGCAGCUCGCUGGGACGUGACUGACGCUGAGACGCGAAAGCGUGGGGAGCAAACAGG
rnacentral:rRNA from 1 species